CCGAGUUUUCAACUCCCAAACCCCUGUGAACAUACCUAUCGUUGCUUCGGCGGAACGCCCCGGGCGCUGCGUGCCCCGGACCCAGGCGCCCGCCGGGGACCACAAACUCUUGUUUCUUGCAGCUGUAUCUUCUGAGUGGCGUAAAGCAAAACAAUAAAUUA
rnacentral:misc_RNA from 1 species